UUUCGCAAUGCCCGAAAGGGUGACGAAGCGACGCCGCGUGUGGGAAGAAGGCCUUCGGGUUGUAAACCACUGUCGGGAGUUAAGAAAUACAAGGAUAUUAAUAGUGUCUUUGUUUGACUAAGGCUCCGGAGGAAGCCACGGCUAACUCUGUGCCAGCAGCCGCGGUAAUACAGAGGCGGCAAGCGUUGUUCGGAAUUAUUGGGCGUAAAGAGCACGUAGGCGGCUAUGUAAGUCGGUUGUGAAAGCCUUCCGCUCAACGGAAGAACAGCAUCCGAUACUACAUGGCUUGAGUGCGGGAGGGGAGAGUGGAACUUCUGGUGGAGCGGUGAAAUGCGUAGAUAUCAGAAGGAACGCCGGCGGCGAAAGCGGCUCUCUGGCCCAUAACUGACGCUGAGUGUGCGAAAGCUAGGGGAGUAAACGGGAUUAGAUACCCCGGUAGUCCUAGCCGUAAACGACGGGCACUAAGUAGAGGGGUUUU
rnacentral:rRNA from 1 species